rnacentral:rRNA from 1 species
GAUGAACGCUGGCGGCGUGCCUAAUACAUGCAAGUCGAGCGAACGGACGAGAAGCUUGCUUCUCUGAUGUUAGCGGCGGACGGGUGAGUAACACGUGGAUAACCUACCUAUAAGACUGGGAUAACUUCGGGAAACCGGAGCUAAUACCGGAUGAUAUUUUGAACCGCAUGGUUCAAAAGUGAAAGACGGUCUUGCUGUCACUUAUAGAUGGAUCCGCGCUGCAUUAGCUAGUUGGUAAGGUAACGGCUUACCAAGGCAACGAUGCAUAGCCGACCGGAGAGGGUGAUCGGCCACACUGGAACUGAGAACCGGUCCAGAUUCCUCCGGGAGGCAGCAGUAGGGAUUUUUCCGCAAUGGGCGAAAGCCUGACGGAGAACCGCCGCGUGAUGGAUGAAGGUCUUCGGAUCGUAAAACUCUGUUAUUAGGGAAGAACAUAUGUGUAAGUAACUGUGCACAUCUUGACGGUACCUAAUCAGAAAGCCACGGCUAACUACGUG